rnacentral:rRNA from 1 species
AGCAGCCGCGGUAAUUCCAGCUCCAAUAGCGUAUAUUAAAGUUGUUGCAGUUAAAAAGCUCGUAGUUGAAUUUCGGAGUUUGUCGGUUGGUCGGGCUUCACUGUCCGCACUGGCCUGAUGGAUUCCUACCUUCUGAAUAACCAGCAUGCUAUUAAGUUAGUGCGUUGGGGAAGCAGAGCUAUUACCUUGAAAAAAUUAGAGUGCUUAAAGCAGGCUUUUGCUUGAAUAGAUUAGCAUGGAAUAAUAAAAUAGGACGGCAUGGUUCUAUUUUGUUGGUUUCUAGGAUCACCGUAAUGAUUAAUAGGGAUAGUUGGGGGCAUUAGUAUUCAAUUGUCAGAGGUGAAAUUCUUGGAUUUAUUGAAGACUAACUUCUGCGAAAGCAUUUGCCAAGGAUGUUUUCAUUAAUCAAGACGAAAGUUAGGGGAUCGAAGACGAUCAGAUACCGUCGUA